UCCCUCGUGGCGCAAUUGGCUAGCGCGUUCGACUGUUAAUCGAGAGGUUGGUGGUUCGAGCCCACCCGAGGGAGU